CCACCCUCAGGCUCUGCCUGGUGUUGGGGGCCGGCCGCCCUGGGCGGCCGCCCCCGAAAGACAGCGGCGGGCUCGCCCCGGUCCCGAGCGUAGUAGCAACACGUCGCUCCGGGUGCCGGGCGGGCUCUCGCCGUAAAACCCCCCAUACUUUUAU
rnacentral:misc_RNA from 1 species